GACGAGGGAUCCUAGCGUUGCUCGGAAUCAUUGGGCGUAAAGCGGGUGUAGGUGGCUUGACAAGUCAGGUGUGAAAGCCCAGGGCUCAACCCUGGAAGUGCAUUUGAAACUGUCGAGCUUGAGUGCUAGAGAGGUUAUUAGAAUACCUGGUGUAGUGGUGAAGUACGUAGAUAUCAGGUGGAACACCGGAGGCGAAGGCGGAUAACUGGCUAGACACUGACACUGAGACCCGAAAGUGUGGGAUCAAACAGG
rnacentral:rRNA from 1 species